AUUGAACGCUGGCGGCAGGCCUAACACAUGCAAGUCGAGCGGAUGAAGGGAGCUUGCUCCUGGAUUCAGCGGCGGACGGGUGAGUAAUGCCUAGGAAUCUGCCUGGUAGUGGGGGAUAACGUCCGGAAACGGGCGCUAAUACCGCAUACGUCCUGAGGGAGAAAGUGGGGGAUCUUCGGAACUCACGCUAUCAGAUGAGCCUAGGUCGGAUUAGCUAGUUGGUGGGGUAAAGGCCUACCAAGGCGACGAUCCGUAACUGGUCUGAGAGGAUGAUCAGUCACACUGGAACUGAGACACGGUCCAGACUCCUACGGGAGGCAGCAGUGGGGAAUAUUGGACAAUGGGCGAAAGCCUGAUCCAGCCAUGCCGCGUGUGUGAAGAAGGUCUUCGGAUUGUAAAGCACUUUAAGUUGGGAGGAAGGGCAGUAAGUUAAUACCUUGCUGUUUUGACGUUACCAACAGAAUAAGCACCGGCUAACCUCGUG
rnacentral:rRNA from 1 species